GCACAAAGGCCGGCGGCCGCCUCACCGCGCGCAGGAAUCCGGCCACGCGCGCCCCAGCCCCCCCACCCCCCGCCCCGCGGACGCAGCCCCGGCUGGCUCGCCGCCCCCUUUUGCGCUUCACGCCCCCGACGCACAGGACGCCGAGGCGAGGCCCGCCUCCCAGCCAAGGAGCCACAUCCGCGUCGUGCCACGCCGCCGGCUCCCCGCGGGGGGACUACUUCGCUCCCCGCCCCUCGGUCCCGCGCGACUUCCUGCCGCGGACGCGUCGGUGCGCGGCGCGCACGGCAUGGCGGCGGCGGCGCGCGCCUGAGGAGCUGGGGGUACGCCGGCCCGGUCAGGCCUCGGCGCGGCCUACGCGCUCCACUUGUUCGCUGGUCCGCUCGCUCCCGCCCGGCGCCCCGCCAUGGCGGAGCCUUCGCCGGCCCGACGUCCGGUGCCUCUCAUCGAGUCGGAGCUGUACUUUCUCAUCGCCCGCUACCUCUCAGCUGGCCCGUGUCGCCGAGCGGCGCAGGUGCUGGUGCAGGAGCUGGAGCAGUACCAGCUGUUGCCGAAGAGGUUGGACUGGGAGGGCAACGAGCACAACAGGAGCUACGAGGAAUUGGUCUUGUCCAAUAAACAUGUGGCUCCUGACCACCUACUACAGAUAUGCCAGCGCAUCGGUCCGAUGCUGGAUAAGGAGGUCCCGCCCAGUAUCUCAAGAGUCACUUCUUUGCUUGGUGCAGGAAGGCAGUCUUUGCUACGAACAGCAAAAGACUGCAGGCACACAGUGUGGAAGGGCUCUGCCUUUGCUGCUCUUCACAGAGGAAGACCUCCUGAAAUGCCCGUCAAUUAUGGCCCCCCACCGAGUCUUGUGGAGAUACACCGAGGAAGGCAGCUCACAGGGUGUUCCACUUUUAGCACAGCGUUCCCAGGAACUAUGUACCAGCAUAUAAAGAUGCACAGGAGGAUUCUUGGACACCUGUCUGCAGUGUACUGUGUAGCAUUUGAUAGGACAGGACAUAGAAUCUUUACAGGUUCAGAUGAUUGCUUGGUAAAGAUUUGGUCAACACAUAAUGGCCGCUUGUUGUCUACGUUAAGAGGCCAUUCUGCAGAGAUUUCAGACAUGGCUGUGAACUACGAGAACACGCUGAUUGCUGCAGGAAGCUGUGAUAAGAUCAUUAGGGUGUGGUGCUUGAGGACCUGCGCCCCAGUUGCUGUGCUGCAAGGACACACGGGGUCAAUCACAUCUCUGCAGUUUAGCCCGAUGGCCAAAGGACCUCAGCGGUACAUGGUUUCUACGGGCGCUGAUGGCACUGUUUGCUUCUGGCAGUGGGAUUUAGAGUCCUUGAAGUUCAGUCCACGACCCCUGAAGUUCACGGAAAAGCCAAGGCCUGGUGUUCAGAUGCUGUGUUCUUCAUUUAGCGUUGGUGGUAUGUUUUUAGCUACAGGUAGUACUGAUCAUGUAAUCAGAAUGUAUUUUUUGGGAUUCGACGCACCUGAAAAAAUCGCCGAGCUUGAAAGCCACACUGACAAAGUUGAUAGUAUCCAGUUUUGUAACAAUGGUGACCGGUUCUUAAGUGGUAGCCGAGAUGGAACAGCACGGAUCUGGAGGUUUGAGCAGUUGGAAUGGAGAAGCAUUUUACUGGACAUGUCUGCCAGGAUCUCGGGAGACACAUCUUCAGAAGAAGAGAGGUUUAUGAAACCCAAAGUUACAAUGAUUGCUUGGAACCAGGAUGAUAGCACCGUGGUCACAGCCGUGAAUGAUCAUGUCCUCAAGGUGUGGAGUUCCUACACUGGACAGCUGCUUCAUAACUUACUGGGACAUGCUGAUGAAGUGUUUGUUUUGGAGACACAUCCCUUUGAUUCCAGAAUUAUGUUAUCUGCAGGACACGAUGGCAGCAUAUUUAUAUGGGAUAUUACAAAGGGCAUCAAGAUGAAGCAUUACUUUAAUAUGAUCGAAGGACAAGGACAUGGAGCUGUGUUUGACUGCAAGUUUUCACAGGAUGGACAACAUUUUGCCUGUACAGAUUCUCACGGGCAUCUUCUGAUAUUUGGCUUUGGAUGCAGCAAGCCAUAUGAAAAGAUUCCUGAUCAGAUGUUUUUUCAUACUGACUACCGACCACUGAUAAGAGAUUCCAAUAACUAUGUCUUGGAUGAGCAGACACAGCAGGCACCUCAUCUUAUGCCUCCACCAUUCUUGGUGGAUGUGGACGGAAACCCUCAUCCAACCAAGUUCCAGAGAUUAGUACCAGGUCGAGAAAACUCAGCAGAUGAACAUUUGGUUCCACAGCUAGGCUAUGUGGCCACAAGUGAUGGGGAGGUGAUUGAACAGAUUAUAAGCCUGCAUACCAACGACAGUGGAGAUGCAAGCCCAGAGUCCAGCGUCUUGGAUGGCAUGAUUAGGCAGCUGCAGCAGCAGCAAGACCAGAGACUGGGAGUGGAUCAGGAUGGGACUGCAAAUGGACUUCCCAGUGGGGAAGGGACACCCCGAAGAGGGAGUUUUAGAAGACUGAGUUUAGACAUUCAGUCUCCUCCAAACAUCGGUCUCCGUCGGAGUGGGCAGGUUGAAGGUGUUCGUCAGAUGCAUCAGAACGCUCCUCGGAGUCAGAUUGCUACAGAGCGUGACCUCCAGGCUUGGAAGCGGAGAGUAGUUGUUCCAGAGGCACCGCCUGGCAUGUUCAGGCGGUUGGAAGACAUUCGCAUAGAGAGAGGCGAGGAGGAGAGGAACCUGUAUGUAAUAGGGAGAAAGAAGAAGACUUUCCAGGUCCCACAAAAGUCCAAUUCGAUGGUUUUGGUGUCCCAGUCUAGACAACGGACGUGUAGGCGUAAAUAUGCAAAUUAUAGUAGAAGAAACGCUGACCAGUGUGAAUUAUCUUCUGGAAAUGAAUCUUCAGGCUCUGUUAGACAUGAGACAUCUUAUGAUCAGAGUGAAGGUUCUUGUUCUUCAGAAGAUGACGAGUGGAGAAAUGACAGAAGAAGUGGUAGUGACAGCGACAGCUCAAGUGACUCUUCAUCUCAGUAUUCUGAUUGGACAGCUGACACGGGGAUCAACUUGCAGCCUCCUCUCAGGAUGUCAUGUCGUCGUCGAGUAACUCGAUUCUGCAGUACUUCAGAGGACGAAAUGUCCAUGGAGAACAUAUCACCUCCUAAACGAAGGCGGAAAAGAAGGAAAGAAAGCAAGCCUAAGAGGGAGAGUUUACGAAGGAUGACUCCAGCAGAACUUGCAAAUAUGGAACACCUAUAUGAGUUUCACCCUCCUGUGUGGAUAACGGACACCACACUUCGGAAGUCUCCCUUUGUUCCUCAGAUGGGUGAUGAGGUGAUGUACUUCCGUCAGGGUCAUGAAGCUUAUAUUGAAGCUGUCAGAAGAAAUAACAUUUAUGAACUAAAUCCUCACAAGGAGCCAUGGAGGAAAAUGGAUCUUAGGGAUCAAGAACUGGUCAAAAUUGUUGGACUAAGGUAUGAGGUUGGACCACCUACACUUUGUUGCCUCAAACUAGCAUUUAUAGAUCCAGCGACUGGCAGACUGACGGAUAAAUCUUUCUCUAUUAGAUAUCAUGACAUGCCAGAUGUUAUUGAUUUUCUUGUGUUGCGCCAAUUUUAUGAUGAAGCAAGACAGAGAAACUGGCAGCCUUGUGACAGAUUUCGAUCUAUAAUUGAUGAUGCUUGGUGGUUUGGAACCGUGUUGAGUCAAGAACCGUAUCAACCCCAGUAUCCUGACAGUCACUUCCAGUGUUACAUUGUUAGGUGGGACAACACCGAGACUGAAAAGCUUAGCCCUUGGGACAUGGAACCGAUUCCUGACAAUGUUGAUCCUCCAGAAGAAUUGGGAGCAAGUAUCUCUGUCACUUCAGAUGAGCUAGAGAAAUUGCUCUACAAACCACAAGAAGGAGAAUGGGGCCAGAGGUCAAGAGAUGAGGAGUGUGAUCGGAUCAUCAGUGGCAUAGACCAGCUUUUAAACCUCGAUAUAGCAGCAGCGUUUGCAGGCCCGGUGGAUCUGUGCACAUAUCCCAAGUACUGCACAGUAGUGGCUUAUCCAACUGAUCUCUACACAAUUCGAAUGAGGCUUGUUAAUCGAUUUUACAGGCGGUUAUCUGCAUUAAUUUGGGAAGUCCGAUAUAUAGAGCAUAAUGCAAGAACGUUUAAUGAACCGGAAAGUGUAAUUGCAAGAUCAGCUAAAAAAAUAACUGACCAGCUUCUGAAGUUUAUCAAGAAUCAAGAUUGUACAAAUAUAUCGGAACUAUGUAACACUUCUGACAAUGAUGAGGACGACAGUGCUGAUGAUUUGGAUGAUAGUGAUCUUCCUAAAACGUCUUCUGGAAGAAGGAAGGUCCACAACUGGAAAAGGAGGAGUAGAGCCAGUGGCUGUAUUGAGAGUGACUGGAGGAGGCAGUGCAAGGCCCUGCUUAUCCUCAUCUUCCAGUGUGAGGACUCGGAGCCCUUUAGACAGCCCGUGGACUUGGAUGAGUACCCAGAUUACCGAGAUAUUAUAGAUACGCCAAUGGAUUUUGGAACAGUAAGGGAAACUCUAGAAGCUGGGAAUUACGAUAGCCCUGUGGAGUUUUGCAAAGACAUUCGAUUGAUAUUUAGCAAUGCAAAGGCAUAUACACCGAACAAAAGAUCAAAGAUUUAUAGUAUGACCUUGAGAUUGUCUGCUUUGUUUGAAGAAAAAAUGAAGAAAAUCUCCUUUGAUUUUAAAAUUGGUCAAAAAUUCAAGGAGAAACUUCGUAGAAGCCAAAGAUUCAAGCAACGACAAAACUGUAACGGUGCUGUCCCUGGUGACAGGCGCAGGAGAAAUGUCAAGCAGAAGCAGUUCAAAUCUCAGACAAAAGUAAUUCCACAGUUGAUGUGUCCUCCUUCUCAGUCUACCUCAAGUAAGGUACCUUUGUCUGCAACCCGCAAGACAAGUGCUGGUGUCUCUUCAGGCUUUACUUCUGGGGACUCUUCAGACUCUGCAGGAUCUUUAGAAAGAGUCAGAAGACAGAGGCCUGAAGUACUCAGGAGUGGUUCUGUGCUGUUUGGAAGUGAAAUGGAAGAUUUCUUAGCUACCUCUUCAUCUUCUUCAGCUUCAAACAGUUCAGAGGAAAGCAAAGCGAGUCCUGGAGCUCGAGAAUCUUCCUUGCGCAGUGGUGUGUUGAGAGGCAGCAACCUCGGGGUGACCAGAACAAGAGCUGCUCGGAGGAAAGCUGGUUCUGUUUCUUUAGAAAAUGGGUGUGGUAGAAAAGCCACUCGGAAGAGAGUCUAUUUAAGUGAUUCUGAUAACAAUUCAGUGGAAACAGAUGAAAAUCUGAAAAAUAGAAAAUGUGGAAGUAGCCGGAAAGUUCUGCGGAAGUGUGCUGCUGUUGCUGCCAGCAAGAUAAAGCUGAUGAGUGAUGCAGAGGAUUCGAGCUCAGAGAGCCCCUGCUCUGGGCGGAAGCUGCCACAUCGAAACGCUUCAGCUGUGGCCAGGAAGAAGUUGCUACACAACUCUGAUGAUCAGAGCCUUAAGUCAGAGACAGAAGAACUGAAAGACCAGAACCAAUCACUGUUGAUAUCCGGUCCCCAUUCUGUCCACAACAGCAUCAGUGACUCAGAGUCAGACAGUGACUUGCGAGCAACCCGGAAGACCUGGAAUGCUAACGGCUGCACAUCCCACACUGCAGCAACAUGCAAAACCAAGUCACGUCCAAUAGAGUCUUCUGAGGAAGAUUCCAGAUGUCAUGGAUCUGAUCAUGGGCCCAGCAGCACUGGGGACCCUUCAACAUCUGGGCAGAAACUCAGGGCAGAUAGCAUCUCUGAGGAAGCUGACUCUGAACCAGAAAGCAGUGUACUAUGCAAGAAUACACAUCUGUGUAAGAAAGCCAAGAUCUUGAGUGACUCAGAAGACUGUGAGGAAAAGUGUGGAGAAAGGAGAGGUCCUGAAGUGGAAGGAAGCCCAGUUUCUGAAGCCUUGAGGGAAGCCAUUCUUGCCCCCCAGUGUCUCUCACAUCGUGGAUCUGAGACUGAUGUGGAUUCUGACGGCGGUGCAGUGAGAGAGAAAUCAUACAGCAAUGAAAACGGAUCUGUAUCACUAGAGAAUGGACAAAGAAGAAAAGUUUCCCGGAAAAGUUCCAGUGACAAGGAAAGUAAUCUACAGGUAACCCAGAAGUCACCCAAAGACAGAAGCAGCCCCUCGAGGAUUACUCAGCGUGCUAGUGUGGCUACUGAUAAAAUGAAGCUCACAAGCGAUGCAGAAGACCUCAGCCUAGAGAGCGUGUGUACUCGAAGCAAAAGGAGAAGGAAAAAGCCUGCUCGAUUUGCUUGUACCCCAACCCGCAAGACAAGUGCUGGUGUCUCUUCAGGCUUUACUUCUGGGGACUCUUCAGUCUCUGCAGGAUCUUUAGAAAGAGUCAGAAGACAGAGGCCUGAAGUACUCAGGAGUGGUUCUGUGCUGUUUGGAAGUGAAAUGGAAGAUUUCUUAGCUACCUCUUCAUCUUCUUCAGCUUCAAACAGUUCAGAGGAAAGCAAAGCGAGUCCUGGAGCUCGAGAAUCUUCCUUGCGCAGUGGUGUGUUGAGAGGCAGCAACCUCGGGGUGACCAGAACAAGAGCUGCUCGGAGGAAAGCUGGUUCUGUUUCUUUAGAAAAUGGGUGUGGUAGAAAAGCCACUCGGAAGAGAGUCUAUUUAAGUGAUUCUGAUAACAAUUCAGUGGAAACAGAUGAAAAUCUGAAAAAUAGAAAAUGUGGAAGUAGCCGGAAAGUUCUGCGGAAGUGUGCUGCUGUUGCUGCCAGCAAGAUAAAGCUGAUGAGUGAUGCAGAGGAUUCGAGCUCAGAGAGCCCCUGCUCUGGGCGGAAGCUGCCACAUCGAAACGCUUCAGCUGUGGCCAGGAAGAAGUUGCUACACAACUCUGAUGAUCAGAGCCUUAAGUCAGAGACAGAAGAACUGAAAGACCAGAACCAAUCACUGUUGAUAUCCGGUCCCCAUUCUGUCCACAACAGCAUCAGUGACUCAGAGUCAGACAGUGACUUGCGAGCAACCCGGAAGACCUGGAAUGCUAACGGCUGCACAUCCCACACUGCAGCAACAUGCAAAACCAAGUCACGUCCAAUAGAGUCUUCUGAGGAAGAUUCCAGAUGUCAUGGAUCUGAUCAUGGGCCCAGCAGCACUGGGGACCCUUCAACAUCUGGGCAGAAACUCAGGGCAGAUAGCAUCUCUGAGGAAGCUGACUCUGAACCAGAAAGCAGUGUACUAUGCAAGAAUACACAUCUGUGUAAGAAAGCCAAGAUCUUGAGUGACUCAGAAGACUGUGAGGAAAAGUGUGGAGAAAGGAGAGGUCCUGAAGUGGAAGGAAGCCCAGUUUCUGAAGCCUUGAGGGAAGCCAUUCUUGCCCCCCAGUGUCUCUCACAUCGUGGAUCUGAGACUGAUGUGGAUUCUGACGGCGGUGCAGUGAGAGAGAAAUCAUACAGCAAUGAAAACGGAUCUGUAUCACUAGAGAAUGGACAAAGAAGAAAAGUUUCCCGAAAAAGUUCCAGUGACAAGGAAAGUAAUCUACAGGUAACCCAGAAGUCACCCAAAGACAGAAGCAGCCCCUCGAGGAUUACUCAGCGUGCUAGUGUGGCUACUGAUAAAAUGAAGCUCACAAGUGAUGCAGAAGACCUCAGCCUAGAGAGCGUGUGUACUCGAAGCAAAAGGAGAAGGAAAAAGCCUGCUCGAUUUGCUUGUACCCCAGCAAAGACUGCAUUGAGUAGUGAGGAGAAACACGCACAUUGUGAAGUGCCUGAGGCACAGCCUGCCUGCAGGAACAAGCUCCCUGAGCCUGAACACCAAGAUAGUGCAGAGAAUCCCAGUCAGGCUGCAAGUGCAGACUUGAAUUCUGGAGGGGGUUCCAGUUUUGAACAAAGAAAAAGCAUACAGAGCAGGCAAAUGGGCGCUGUCUGCGUAAGGCCACCUCCUAAAACCCAAAGCUCCUCUGCUGGGCUUUCUCAGGAAAACGCCAGAAGCCAAACCCUAGAUAGUGAGACUAGCUUGCCUUCUGAGUCGGUUUUGACCCAGAAAGCUACUGUAGAGAGUAACUUUGAAGAAGAACUGAACUAUGGAUUAAGAAGGUGGAAUGGCAGAAGGCUCAGGACAUACGGGAAGGCCCCACUCAGUAGGACAGCACAAGUUACUCCCAGUUUACAGGCCUCAGCAGAGGUCGGGGUGAAGAGGAGGAGAAUGCAUCCUGAGGUAGAUGGUGAGGACGUGCCCGGACAAAUGGGGAGUUCAGGAUGCGGACCUGACACCAGUCCCAAGGCAUCAGACUUGGGGUCAGUAACUGACUCUGAUGUUGACUGUACCGAUAACACACAAACCCAAAGGAAGAAGAAAAGGAAAGGGAAAGCAAGAGUGCUUAGCAAAGGUAAACCCUCCUCAUCCAACUCACCUAAAACUGCAAGACAUCCAAGGCAGAGUAAAGGUCCUAGGUUAAAUGUGGAUGACAAUGACUGGGAGGAUUUGGACUAUGCAAAAGCUAAAGGAGUUGUCCGGCUCUCAAAAAUCCAAACGAGAAAUCAGGGUAGGAGAACGGUGAGAUACCACGAUGGGGAAGAUGAUAGAAGCAUAGAGAGCGCACUAGAGCUCACUGACCGCACCUUACGCCCUUGAGAUCCAGUGUGCUCAGUAGACUGACUGGAAUGUACUGUGAAAGCUGGCUUACAAUUCAGGGAAUAUAUUUAUAUUUUUCUAUGAAAAGUUGUGAAUGUGACUAAAUCAUGACUGUUACUUUUAUUUGCACUUGCUGGUUUUGAAGCAGCAUUCAGCACAGGUGCCAAAAUAUGCUUUAUUUUGGGGGCAGAUGUACUUUGACAGUAUUGACUACACAUAGCAAGAGUUGGGAGACAUGUUCAACACUAGACAACUGGGUUAUCCAAACCAGUGAGCAUUACUUUUGUGGUAGCAGUGUCACACAGUUAUUUUCUGAAUUUAUCCAGAGGUGGUAGUUUCUAAGCCCCUGCCGUGCAGUAGGAGAAAAAUCCACGUGGCCUAUGUUUACAGAAUCUUGAAAAAUAUUAUGAUAAUCAUGGCAAGGGUAACCAUGGUUAGUAGGCAAGGCACCUACCACUUUUUUUUUUUUAUCUUUUCCCUGGAGACUUGAGUAGAACACAUUUUACCUUAUAUAUCUGGUUAUUUCAAUUGACAUGGCUUCUACUCCUCGCCCCCCCCCCCCCCAAAUUCUUGUCUUUUUUUUCUUUAAGACAAACCUGAUGACUUUCAUGUUUAUAAACUUGAAUUUAUAAAGUGCUUGUAAAUUAUUUUACAUGUUUGGAGUGCAUAUUUUAAAGGUCUAAUUUGAGACGUAGUCAUAGUAUUUUCUUUUAGAUUGUUUACUGACAAGUUGUUGCUUUUUGUCCAAGAUCUACUUUCCAUUAGGAUUCACCAAAUUCUUGCUCUUCCAUAAUCUUACUCUGAAGUAGAGAAGUUUGUGUGCCUUAGAUUUAGGGAAAGUGUUCUUUAAUAAGAGUGCGUAGGGCUAAUGGUAUUUCAGUUCUGUAUAGAUUUCACUUUGUCACACUGUAGAGUUGAGAGUGCAGUUGUAAAUCCUACCUGUGUAGGGAAGCAGCUUUUGUUGCCCAGUGUACCCUAAGCAUCCUUUCUUUGGGACAACUGCGUGAGUCUUUGUUGUAGUGAUCCCCAGUGGAAGCAACAAUGACUCUUAGGUCUGUCUGAAGGGAAGCAUCCCAUCAUCCCAAGUCCCACAGCUUUAAAGACACUGUUUGUUAGCCAGGGUCUUGUCUUUAAUGGACUGAUUAUUUGUGGUCUACUGGUGUCGCUCUUCCCAGUAAGUUUCUCCUUGGAAAGCUUCCCAGGAGUGAAAAGGAUGUUGUAGUGUGCACUUGUGAGUGCUUUUUGACUUAGUUGUGCUUGGGUUCAUACACAAGCUACUCUUGUCUCCAUUUUCCUGAGGUGGCAGCAUGUGCUGCUCUCCAGUGUACGCUUACUUUGUCUUCAUGGCUCGUUCGUGGACUUGAUUUGACGUGGUAGGCAUCUUCUCAUGUAAGAGAGAAGAUGGUUUCGGGCGUUUCCAGCUGUGGUUGGUAGGUGCCUCUGUUUCUCUUGGAUAGAGAAUUCUCUGCCAAGCUGCUUUCCAUAGAGCUCCUACUAGACGGAUGUGAGGGGCACAGACUGGGUCAGCUGUCUUUGACUAUUGACUGUAAAAGCAUUUGAUUCCCGUUAUGUUCCUCAGGAUUGUAACUCCAUGUUUAUCAUUAUCUGCAAGAAGGCACCCAAAAUCCACAAGUAUAUAUGACAUGUACUCUUUUACAAAAAAGUUUGGGUUUUGUACACAGAGCUGUUCUCAUUUUGGGACUAAGUGUUAACUGGUUAUUGUCUAGUCAAACACUCCUUUCUAAACCUUUGGUCCAGUUGUGUAGAAGCAUGGUUUGGUUUCAUCAGAUUAGGGUCCGUCUUAAGAGCAGACGUGGACCUGGUGACCCUGUUGUGUGGUUGACUGUGGCUCUCAGCUUGUGAAGUCAAGGUGUGGGCUUGUGAGGAAGAAGUAUUUUGCUUUCCUUUUUUCCUUUUUGGUUAUGGUGCUACUUCUAACAUUAACUUUGACUAUGUGACACACUCCUAAGUACCAUUAAGGGUGAUUAACAAUAGUUACAGUGUUUACAUUGAGCACUCGGUGUUUGCAAUGCGCAGGGAUUUAAUGCACAGAUGUACUUUAAUGUUUAGGGUCAGCCUUGUCUUUUUGAGAGAGUCAUAAGGUGAAUGUGAGCUGGUCCAGAAGUAAGUGCUGUAGCUUCUGCUGCACUUGAAGUAGUUAGGGUGUACUUGUAAAAGGAGCCGUUUCCCACUUUAGUUUUCUAUGUCCGAAGUCUGAUUUUAUUCAUUCAUGGGUUUUAAAAGAAGUUUGAAGUAGUACAGGUUUGAUUUUUUUUUUUUUACUUCCUUUGAAAGAUUACUAUUACCAAGCAUAUUAAGAUUAAAAAUAGAUUUAAAAGGAUUUCCCACUUAUAUCUUAUUUUAAAAGGUAUACUCACAAUGUGUAGUAAUUUAUGAAUAAAAAGAAAAUAUAUCCCAUUUUCAGGUAGUUCCUAGGGUGGUCAUUGCUUUUUUUUUUUCUUUUCUUUUUAGUGGAAAACCUGAUCAAAUAAUGUCUGAAGUUAGUGUGAUGUUGGAAAUUGUGAUAUAGGUCUCCUAGAGUAAGACAUGUUUUUGCAAAGCACUUCAAGACCUAGAAAAACAAUGCAUCGGGUCUAUAAAUAGGUUCAUUCAACACCACUAGAGGGUUACAUCACAGACAGGUUCAUACAGUACUGCCAGAGAGCUGCACUGCCCACAGUCACGUGUCACUAUGCCUUUGCCCUCAUUUGUGGCUUUUGGGGUAAGGAUGGGUUCACACCACAGCCUCAGUUUCUGUGGUGCUCUUUUUCUUAAAUCACUGUACUGUGUGAUAAAAAAUUGACCUGGAUUUUACUCUCGCGUCACUGCGAGUUGAAUGUAAUUGUGUCAGCUGACAAAAGACAUCUGAGGUUUGUAAUGGAGCAGAAUGCAGAACAUUAAAGAUGCACGGGAUGUUUUAUUUCCCUCCCCCUCCAGUGUCCUGAUUCUGCUAGAAACAAACUCACAGGCUCGAGAUAGGCUGUGCUUUUCCUCAAUGGUCGAAGUAACCAGCUCAAGUUUUGAUCAUUAAGCCAGCACAUUUCAGAUAUCUUACAGCUAUUACCAAGUCCAUGCUGUUUUCUCAUGGUGUAGAUAGUAUGCUGGAGUGCAAAGGAGCUUGGAGAGCCUUCCUCCUGUUAGUGACUACUGAAGCUUAGACCCUCAGCUUUGGCUGUGGACCCUGAUCAGCACCAUAGGUUUACAUCUGUGUCCGCCCACCCAGUGUUCUGUAAUGUACUGACCAAACCAGCUCUGGUAGAGCAAGGAGAACAUGAGGCAGUGUGCACUCUUACUUAACUGGGUUAGUUGUGAGUCUCACAUACAGCUCUUACUGUCACUAAGGGAGGACUGAGAGUAAAGAGUAUGAUGCUGGGGUUGGUUGUGUUAUGUGUUCUUACAUCUUAACAUUUUUAAAUUCUUACAAGUGUUCUGAAGGACACCUGGGAAUUCUCAACAUUAAAAAGAUUUUAAAAAAAAAGCAAAAAAAAAAAAAAAAAAAAGCAAAACAGUCUCUUGUAUAACCUGCAAAGCUUGUGUCUAAUAUCACGUUGAUUGGAAAAUUACCUCCUUACCUGGUGUCUUCUUGAUCAAGGCUUCACUUCAUGACUUUGUUGGUCAGAGCCUCAAAGCCUGGCUCCUACAGACUCGCUGCCUCUCACUGACAUGUGUGAAUGAGUGUGGCAAGACUCCAUAGGAUCUGCUGAGGUAUAUUAGAGGUUGGCUUGCUACACUUCCUGAGUAUAUGUUAAAGACUAGGGUUUUUUUUUGUUUGUUUGUUUUCAUUAAGGCUUUUGGCCUUUAUUUGUAUUUUAAAUUUUCAUUUUAUUUUAUGUAUAUGUGUUUGUUCCCUGCAUGUAUGUCUGCACUGUGUGUGUGUACUGCCCAGAGACCAGAAGAGUGGUAGGUAUCAGAUCCCCUGGGACUGGGGUUAUUACAGAUGGUCGUGGGUACUGGGAACUGAAUUUAGAUCCUCUAGAAGAGCAACCAGUGCUCUUAAUUGCUGAGCCAUUUUUGAGACAGUGUUGUCUUCAAGAGUAUAUGUAGCCUGGAACUCACAGAAAUCCGUUUGCCUUUGCCUCCUCAGUUCUGGAUUAAAGGGUGAGCUACCACAAGCAGUUUAUUAAAGCCUUUAAAUUGGCCAAGUGUCAACCUUAACUUCCUAAUUUUAACAGCGUCAGGCACAGACUACAUGGUCUGUGGCAGCUUACAGGGUUAGUUACGGACUGCAUGGACUGUGGCAGCCCAUCUCCAUCCUUCAGUCACACAGGGAGCUUAGACAUUCGUCCAUUUACAUCAGUGUUUCAAAGCUUGAAAGGACCUUUUUAUUUUUUAAAAGAUUUAUGUAUGUGAGUACACUUGGCUGUCUUCAGACACAGCAGAUGAAGGAAGACAUUGGAUCUCAUUACAGAUGAUUGUGAGCCACCGUGUGGUUGCUGGGAAUUGAACUCAGGACCACUGGAAGAGCAGAGCAGUCAGUGCUCUUAACCACUAAGCCGUUACUUUAGUUUCUAAGUGUAAAUUGAUCCUUGGAUUUUGAGCUGUUAUUUGUGCUAUGCAGUACUCAGUAUAGGGCAUAUCCAAGUCCUAGUGGGCAGAUUUUUAAAGUUUUCUCCCACAUAUUUAAAACAAACCACAGGACAUGGGAUGCACCUCGAGGCCUUCCUGGCUCAUGGGAGGACAAAGUGGCUGCCAUGCUUCUAGCAAGCUAAAAUGUCUUUUAAAUACUCACGAUGCUCCCCUCAAAGCUCGCCCAGAUCUCAGAUCAGUGGCUCUGCUACAGACAGCUGUGGCCAGCAGCAUUGCCUGGGAGUUGAACUGACUGGGCAGCCUGUGCUUGAAACAGCCUGCUUUUCAGGAGAGUGAAAGCCCUUUAUUUCUGAUCUUGAUUCUGCUCACAGUUCGUAAUGCUGAGACAUUGCUGGGAAAAUAACUGCCACCAACUCGCAACGACGUCACCCGUUGCCUAUUUUCAAAGAACGAGGCACAUCUGUGCAGCUACCUUAGAUGUAGUGGCAACGAGAAGCCAGGUUGUGCUGGUCACUCACUGGACAGCCACUGAGCUGGUGAAUGAGUUCACAUUUGUCACAGACCAGUUUUUGUCCUGGUGCAGAAGAUAACCCACGCUGUUGCAUCCUUCCUACAGACAGGAAGUGGGAACAUAUACCAUUAUAUAGAGAAAUGGCAGCUCACAGGAUGCUUCUGGAAGCUCCUGCUUUGGAAGGGUGAAAAAACACUUCCAAGAGUUGGGAGUUUGGUGGCUCAGUUUUAUUGUUAUUGAAGAGCGGAUGAGAGAACUCUGUAGUUGUAGCAGCUUGAUAAAAGACUUGCUGGAGAAGCAGGCAUUUACAACUGUAGGGUACCCACUUGAUUCACUGUUUUAAAUACUUAAGAAAUGCUGACCAGAUUAACAUUUUCAAAUGCUUCCACACUAAUGUCUUUAGACUUAGGGAAACAUCUGAGUACACUUGGAAUAUGAAUAGUCCUUGGAGAGUGGGAAGUCACAUUUUAAGGAAAACAGUCCUGCCCAUAUCGGUGUUUGUCCUUACCACAGGCCGUUCUAGAACACGGAUACAGAAGUGCUAUAAAUGCGAACUUGAAAGUGCUAACACACCGAUGGAGAGGCAGCUUAACACGUUUUUGUUGUGUGUCUACCAUGUGUGCGCACGUGCCAUGUUGUGGAGGCCAGAGGAUGACUUUGUGGAGCAGGUUCUCCAUUCCACAUUUGCAUAGGCUGCCCAGGUUGCUCCAGGUUUCUGUAGCACGCCUCUCUCUACCCACGAAGCCAGCCAUCUUGCCAGCUCUGUUUGUCUCAGAGUUCUCAGCAGUGCUCUUAGCAGUGUGGUUAGUGCUGAGUCCCCAUGCAGCCUCCGGCCUCCCUCACGGUGGUUUCUGCGGAAUUCCCAUUUGUUUGUCUUUGAACUUGAGACUUUCAUCACCUGGGGUUCCUGUAAAUUGUAUUCUGGACUUUUCCCUACUUAGGGCAUAAGUUAAUUGAAGUUCAAAUCUACUUUACAGGGUACUUUAAAAAAUGUUUUCCAUUUCUGCAGUUUAGCUUUUCCCCUUUCUUGAUUGGAAGUAAAAUGUCUUAAGAGUUUGUCUUUACCAGGUUGAUAAACUGUCAGCACAGGCUCUUCCACCACAUCUGGAGUAACCACUACUAAUUCUUCCACCACAUCUGGAGUAACCACUACUAAUUCAGCAUUUUCUUGGGAAGAGAGAUUUUAGUUGUGAUGGGGUUUUAUCUAAUACUGGGCAUGAACCAGCUGACUUAGUUUUCUUAGUAUGCAAUGCAUGGAUGUAGUUAUUUGGCUGAUACUAGUAGAAUUCUUUGAGGGGUACCCGCUUCCCUUUUGCUAUAUUUUGAAAUUGUACUUAUUUUAUCCUAGCAUUUGCUCAAAAUAGAUUUAAUGUUCAUUUUUGCAUUUGGUAUUCAUGGAGACCCCAGCUUAUAAGUUUCUACUUUUAAGAAAGUCCUCUGAAGGUAAAAACACCAAGGCACUUUGUUUCUACAGAGCCUAAUGAGUUACGUCAGACCAGCCUAGUAAAAAACAUUGGAAGUUACAUAACCCUAACCCUUUGAGGGAAUAGUCUCCUGUUUGGAAGAGCUUGUAGAUGUCAGAUUGACCUUUCAGGUGGCUGGGAACAGUCUGGGGGCUCUGGAAGAGCAGCCAUUGCUACCUUCUGUUUUCUGAGCUGGUUUCUCUAUGCAUUUCUGUCUGCCCUAGAUCUAACUAUAGACCAGGCUGGCUUAGAACUGAGAGAUCUGCCUUCCUCCUUCCAAAUGGGAGUGCUGAGAUUAAAGGUUAUGUGCCGCCACCACACCUGGUGCAAAACUAUAUUUAUUUAUAGUCAGGUGACAUGUGCAAGCAGCCAGGCCAAGCUUGCUUGAUGAUAGCUGACCAAAACGUUGCCUUUUUCUGGGACUCAGUAAGAAAGACAAAGGCUGCCAAGUCCUCCAGAUGCCUAUGUGUUUUUUACUUUGGUGUUCUACAGCCUCUGUAUUGAUGUGGCUAUUACAUUCAUGUCUGACUCUUCAUGACUGUAAGACUGAUUUUAAGAAAUCCCCAAACUCCAGCUGGUAGCAGAUAGAUACAUCAAAGCACUUGAAACUUGUGUCUUUGAGACUUCUGCAGAAAUACAAGAGUUGAGCUUUCAUGUCUGGCAGACAUCUCUUGCUUUCCAGCCAUCCUUGAACAUUGCUGAGAUCUGUGACAGGGACCUGUCUGCCUCUUCAGUGGGCUGUUUGCCUAGCUUCAGGUUCUGACAACCCCCUUCACAAUAUUUAGCUCAGCAGAAAUGUACUUCCUUAAAGGAACCCUUCCGUGAGUCCAUAGUACAGGUGCCAAUGCUUGUGGAUUGCUAAGACACCCACACACAGGCAGGCAGAAGGACUCUGUCUGCUAACCACACACAGGCAGGCAGAAGGACUCUGUCUGCUAACCACACACAGGCAGGCAGAAGGACUCUGUCUGCUAACCACACACAGGCAGGCAGAAGGACUCUGCGUCUGCCAUGAGCUUGAGGUUGUGGGUUCCCAGCUCUGUAAAGCGAUGUUGGAGAGAAGGUAAGGUUGAGGCCAUGCUAAACUUUGUCGAGUCAGUAGAGUUUCCUUUUGUACCGACUCGGCAAUUUAACCACUUGAAUAAAGGAGAUGCUGGUGCUGGACUCCAUUGUCAGGAAGUGCUUCCUUACUAGGGUGCUGGGAAGUUACUUCAGAGUGCUACAAAAUAUUUCACAGUAAUUUGAAGUACAAUUAAAAAUGAAGCUCAGAAGUGGGAACACAUGAUUCUCUUCUCUCCUUUUCUCUCUUUGAUUUCCUAGACAUAAUUUCUCUGUGUAGCCCUGGCUGUCCUGAAACUGUAGAGCAGGCUGGUCUCAAACUCAGAUCUGCCUACCUCUGUCUCUCCAGUGCUGGAACUAAAGAUUUGUACCGCCGCCGCCACCACCAGGCUGUGCUCCUCUUAAAUCCAAACAUUUUAGAAUCUGUUCGUAAAGACAGAGAACCCCAUACAAAAAUGAGACCAUGUAUGCUUAAUGAGAAGGAUGCAGUACAGAUGCAUAGUGACACCCUGAAAGCAAAAACGGUGCCUGAGAAAGUCCCCCGCAGAUGUGCUACCGUUGCUGCAAAUAAAAUAAAGAUGAUGUGUAAUCUAAAAGAAGUGGUCUCAGGACCAGAGAAUGUCGGCAUUAGGACGAUCAGCAGAAAACUGCCCUAUCGACAAGCCUCUGCUGCAGCUAAGAAAAAGUUACUGAGUGUUUAUAAAGAGGAUGAUGCACCCAUACAUUCAGAGAACGAAAAGGAGCUAUAUCUUAGGCGGUUCAGAUCCCGGAAGGAAAAAGCCCAGCCUACUCCGAGGUAGAAAGGUUACCGGGAAUUGUCAGCAGCUCCAAUGCCUGCCCUGAAGUCCGCUCCCAACCAUAAGCCGUCCCAGCACCUUUUGAACAAUUUUGUGAAAGCCAUUACUCUGGGUCAAAGUGGGAUGAUGGCUUCCAGUUAGCUCUACACAGCACAGCAUAGGGUGUUCCAAGGAGGUAGGAGAUGUGGAUUGUGUUGUCAGGUGAGAAAGCAGAAGGACCCACUGAAUGUAAAGCAAAGGCUUGACGCAGCUUGGUCCUCUAGAGAAAUAAAAGCAUGUGGGAUAUAUGGGGAAACAAUGCUAAUUUCAAUGGUUUGCCCUCACAGACUGAAAACUAGGCCAUUUCCAAAGGAGGGAGCAGUAAGCCCAUGUGACUGCUGAAUUUUAACUGGGUCUGAUUUAUGUAGUGCACAUCCCUGGGAACUGAGAGAGUAAAUCCUGGGGUGUUACUGACUUCUGAAGAGGAGUGUGGGAAAGACUGUCAUUAAUGUCUUAUUUAUAACAUUGGAAUUCAUACUGAAUGAUAGCUACCUGGUAUGAGUAAUUCAGGGAAUGUAUCUUUCUAAGAAAGUUCUCAAUGUGACUAUUACACUUUAUUUCUUCUAUGUAGCAGCAAAGAUGUAAAGGCCAGACUUGUGGUCAGAAAUUAGAACAAGAUGCACUCAUCGCUUAAGGUGAUGCAGUUGGAUCCUAUUUCUUACGUUUCUCUGCUGUUCCUUAGAAGUUAGAAUGUGACACUGCAGGUUCAUUUCAGGCUCACUAACAAGCCAAGUGUCGGGGAGUCUGGCCUCUGGUCGUUGUGCUACAAAUGUUUUGCCUACAGAGGAUGUGGACUUUAGUUCGUUGUUCAUGGCUAUUUGUUGACAUUAAGGUCACCAGAUGUGACCUGUGAAUGUACUGUCAAGUCUUUUUAUCAUGUUACUGGAGAAACUUGUCUUCAACAGUUUGUUUUUCCAAUUAAAAAUAGCUGUGACUAUUAGGCAUAACUUGCAUGUAUAAAUCAAAAAAACAAUGGAACCUAGGGGUGUGUAUUUUUCAUUAACAGUAAUGCACAUUUUUUUCAGUUAUAUGUAUGGCCAAAGUGUCCAGAUUACUUGAGAAACUUGUUUGUGGUUGCAUGCCUGCUUAAAACAAAAACACAACUCAGAAUUCUAACAUAGUGUGUGUCUUUUUGUAACUCACUCUGAAAUCUUCAGCAUCUUGCUACAAGCACAGGAAGAGUUCCCUUCCUCCUCUUUGGUGCAUGGGUUUGGUUUAUUUAUUUAUUUAUUUUGAGCUUUAAUGAAAAAUUUAAAUGUCCAAUCCCAAAUGUCAUAGAAUUACUUAUUGAGCAAUUAUAUCCUCAAGAAAUGCCAUGAAAUGAAAAUAUAUCAGUCUAAUGAAGACCUGUGAAUUUUGGCAGUGUGAAUUGAAGAUCUGAAGUUACAUCUUGCUGUCUGAUCCUGUCCAGCCUUUUAUAAUGGAAUCCCUUUCUGGCCUUUAAUUGGAACAUAUUUUUAUUUACCCUUUAAA